AAUAAAAGAAUGUUAAGCCUGGAAGGUCACGACCUGCAAAGAGGAUGGCAUGCCUUUUUGUGGGAAACAGGAACUAGGAAGCAACAGUAUUUUCAUAGGCAUUUAAUUAGGGACUCUGUUACAAAACUAUCCCCCCAGUGCAUAUGU